rnacentral:rRNA from 1 species
ACCCUGGUAGUCCACGCCCUAAACGAUGUCUACUAGUUGUCGGGUCUUAAUUGACUUGGUAACGCAGCUAACGCGUGAAGUAGACCGCCUGGGGAGUACGGUCGCAAGAUUAAAACUCAAAGGAAUUGACGGGGACCCGCACAAGCGGUGGAUGAUGUGGAUUAAUUCGAUGCAACGCGAAAAACCUUACCUACCCUUGACAUGGUCAGAAUCCCUGAGAGAUCAGGGAGUGCUCGCAAGAGAACUGAUACACAGGUGCUGCAUGGCUGUCGUCAGCUCGUGUCGUGAGAUGUUGGGUUAAGUCCCGCAACGAGCGCAACCCUUGUCAUUAAUUGCCAUCAUUUAGUUGGGCACUUUAAUGAGACUGCCGGUGACAAACCGGAGGAAGGUGGGGAUGACGUCAAGUCCUCAUGGCCCUUAUGGGUAGGGCUUCACACGUCAUACAAUGGUACAUACAGAGGGUCGCCAAGCCGCGAGGUGGAGCUAAUCCCAGAAAGUGUAUCGUAGUCCGGAUUGGAGUCUGCAACUCGACUCCAUGAAGUUGGAAUCGCUAGUAAUCGCGGAUCAGCAUGUCGCGGUGAAUACGUUCCCGGGUCUUGUACACACCGCCCGUCACACCAUGGGAGCGGGUUUCACCAGAAGUAGGUAGCUUAACCGCAAGGGGGGCGCUUACCACGGUGGGAUUCGUGACUGGGGUGAAGUCGUAACAAGGUAACCGUAA